UACGGGAGGCAGCAGUAGGGAAUUUUGCGCAAUGGGGGAAACCCUGACGCAGCAACGCCGCGUGAACGAUGAAGCCCUUCGGGGUGUAAAGUUCUGUCAGUGGGGACGAAACUUGACGGUACCCACAGAGGAAGCACCGGCUAACUCCGUGCCAGCAGCCGCGGUAAU
rnacentral:rRNA from 1 species